UACGUAGGUGGCAAGCGUUGUCCGGAUUUAUUGGGCGUAAAGGGCGCGCAGGCGGUCCGUUAAGUCCGAGGUGAAAUCUCCCGGCUCAACUGGGAGGGGUCUUCGGAUACUGGCGGACUUGAGGAGUGCAGAAGGGGCAACUGGAAUUCUCGGUGUAGCGGUGAAAUGCGUAGAUAUCGAGAGGAACACCUGCGGCGAAGGCGGGUUGCUGGGCUGACACUGACGCUGAUGCGCGAAAGCGUGGGGAGCGAACAGG
rnacentral:rRNA from 1 species